rfam:Mycobacterium sp. 1274756.6 contig_23, whole genome shotgun sequence.
GUCCGCCCGUGCGGCGUGGCCUCUGCCCGAGCCGACCCUGACGUACUUCCCCAACGCCAGGUUCGCGACAUCGGACAGGGACCUCGCCGCGCAGGCGGACCGCC